CCUACGGGAGGCAGCAGUGAGGAAUAUUGGUCAAUGGGCGCUAGCCUGAACCAGCCAAGUAGCGUGAAGGAUGACUGCCCUAUGGGUUGUAAACUUCUUUUAUAUGGGAAUAAAGUGAAGUAUGUAUACUGCUUUGCAUGUACCUUAUGAAUAAGGAUCGGCUAACUCCGUGCCAGCAGCCGCGGUAAUACGGAGGAUUCGAGCGUUAUCCGGAUUUAUUGGGUUUAAAGGGAGCGUAGGCGGGUUGUUAAGUCAGUUGUGAAAGUUUGCGGCUCAACCGUAAAAUUGCAGUUGAUACUGGCAGCCUUGAGUACAGUAGAGGUAGGCGGAAUUCGUGGUGUAGCGGUGAAAUGCUUAGAUAUCACGAAGAACUCCGAUUGCGAAGGCAGCCUGCUGGACUGUAACUGACGCUGAUGCUCGAAAGUGUGGGUAUCAAACAGGAUUAGAUACCCUAGUAGUC
rnacentral:rRNA from 1 species